GGUUAUUUGUUUACUCUUUCUGGAAGUGCUAUCAAUUGGAAGGCAACAUUGCAAGCUAUAGUUGUUUUAACUACCAUAGAGACUGAAUAUAUGGCCUUAGCAAAAGCAAUAAAUGAAGCUUUAUGAUUACAAGAUUUGAUGGGUGAUCUUGGAUUAAUACAGAACAAGGAAACAGUGUUUUGUGACAGCAAGAGUGUAAUACAUCUCACAAAGAAUUAGAUGUACCACGAGCGAACUUAGCACAUUGAUGUCAGAUACCACUUCAUUUGGGACAUUGUAUCUCAGAGGACUGUAGUUAUGCAGAAAGUUUCUACACAUGAUAAUCCGGCAGAU
rnacentral:misc_RNA from 1 species